rnacentral:lncRNA from 1 species
GUUCCCACUUCCUCCUCUAGAGGUGGAAACUGAAGUGCAGACUUCACAGAGGAAGCCUUCAAAAACAACAGUAAACCUGCAGGAAUCCCAGAUUUCUCAACAUCACCCACUGUAUCAGGGCGUCUAACCCCACUGUCCAC